rnacentral:rRNA from 1 species
AGCAGGUCCCAAGGGUUGGGCUGUUCGCCCAUUAAAGCGGUACGCGAGCUGGGUUCAGAACGUCGUGAGACAGUUCGGUCCCUAUCCUCCGCAGCCGAAGGUGUAUUGAGGAAGGCUGUCCCUAGUACGAGAGGACCGGGACGGACGGAGCUCUGGUGUGUCAGUUGUCCUGCCAAGGGCAUUGCUGAUUAGCCACCUCCGGAAGGGAUAACUGCUGAAAGCAUCUAAGUAGGAAACCCGUUCCAAGAUGAGUACACCCAUGCGGUUAACGCAGUAAGGCCCGUGACGAGACCAUCACGUUGAUAGGCCGGAGGUGUAAGCGUGGUAACACGUGUAGCCGACCGGUACUAAUCGGCCGAGGGCUUAA